rnacentral:rRNA from 1 species
GACGAACGCUGGCGGCGUGCUUAACACAUGCAAGUCGAACGGAAAGGCCCUGCUUUUGUGGGGUGCUCGAGUGGCGAACGGGUGAGUAACACGUGAGUAACCUGCCCUUGACUUUGGGAUAACUUCAGGAAACUGGGGCUAAUACCGGAUAGGAGCUCCUGCUGCAUGGUGGGGGUUGGAAAGUUUCGGCGGUUGGGGAUGGACUCGCGGCUUAUCAGCUUGUUGGUGGGGUAGUGGCUUACCAAGGCUUUGACGGGUAGCCGGCCUGCGAGGGUGACCGGCCACAUUGGGACUGAGAUACGGCGCAGACGCCUACGGGAGGCAGCAGUGGGGAAUAUUGCAAAGUGGGCGGAAGCCUGAUGCAGCAACGCAGCGUGCGGGAUGACGGCCUUCGGGUUUUAAACCGCUUUCGCCUGUGACGAAGCGUGAGUGACGGUAAUGGGUAAAGAAGCACCGGCUAACUACGUG